AACACCGGUAUACGCGUGCUUCCUAGACU
rnacentral:sRNA from 1 species